rnacentral:lncRNA from 1 species
AAUAUGAUUCCUACUAAAAUACAAUAACCUUCAUAUUGAAAAAUUCGGAAUUACAACUACAUGAGCGGAAGCUAACCUGAAUCCAUGAGUGGAAAUCGUUGAACCUCCUUUGAUGAUUGUCCAAUGGUCCUUAUGAAGAUUGCUCCUUGAUCCUUCCUUCAAGAUUGUCUUGAAGUUUAUGUCUCCACAAGAAUUCCUUACAAGACUUGAAUAUGUGAAUGGUUAGUCCUUCCUUCAAGAUUGUCUUCUUGAUCCUUCUUGAAAUAUGGAUUUCACAACAACAAUAAUAUCACAAUACCCAAAGUUGGUGUAUGGCUUUCCACAAGAAUAUCACACAAGACUAAAUAUGGGAAUGGUUUUCCACAAGGAUUUGCAAGACAACAAUGGAGUUUCUCUUGAUUCAAUGGGAGGAAGAAGAAAUUUGUCUUGCAAUAAUGUGGGAACCAUAACCCCCACUUUAUAACAAAAGAGUUACAUAACC